AAGGAAGUUCUUGAUACGGUGUAUGCACUUCACUGUAAAUAUUCACUGUAACAUACACUUAGCCCAGUUCUGGUUUUAUUCUCAUGCAAAUCUGGGAUUUUAUCCAGCAUAAAGUAGGUGAAACUAAGUUGAUGUUUAGGCCCUUAGUAUGAAAAGAAAUAAUAACAAACGUUUAUGCAGUCGCCACACUUGACUUCAGGAAGAAGCUUUAGAUAAGAUUGUGUUUGUAUAGUAGCUGUGGUGUUUUGUUGUGUUUCUUUUUAAUAGAACUUCAUAGCUGGAAAAUACGUUAAUCUCAUUAUCCAAGAGGAUUUAAUUAAAAAAAAAAAAAAAAAAAGGUUUAAGCUGAGACUUGCUCACAGGUCUUUAAUGCAGUCACGAUCUUAGUGUCUAUUAUAUACAGUGGCACCUGCAUUCAGCUGAAUUAGCAUUUUGCUUUUCCACAUGAACAAAAUAACUGCCUAAAAUUGUUGUAAGUGGAAGGUGAGAUCCUUUUCUUGUGAGGAUGUGUUAAUAUUUUUCCUUUUUUCUUUUUUUGGCAGGAUUUGAUUAACACGGUUGUCCUGAGGAUGAAGCAGUCUGUAGAGGAGGAUGUCUUUAUCCCUCUGUAUCCGAAAAGCACUGUGGAAGACAAAUCAUCUCCAUGUUCAAAAUUGCAAGGCAGACGGUUUUGGUCAGCUGUUGAGGUAAAGAAAAAGCACCGAUCUUGUCUGUGAAAAGCAUUUUAGUUAAAAGGAGAUUGUAGUCUUUGAGGAAAUGUAUCUUCAGUCAAAUCUGAUUCCUGAGAGUUUAUGGUAUUUUAAUAGGAAGGUUAGCUGUUUUCGUCAGUGAGCUAUUUAUGCUUACCCACCUCUGAUACGUAGUGAAGAGACUUUAAUUUCAUCAUCUGUUCCUGCUAACCUUCCAUGAGAUCAGUCAUUGGCACUCUGUGGAUAGGUCUGUUUCCUCAGUAUGUGCAUACGGUGCCCAUGCUGCUCUUGUAGAAUGGAAUCCCUGCAUGUGCGUAUAUGCGUAUUAGUGUAGCUUUAUUCAGUCUAAAGUGCUGAGUUAGGAAUGUCUGAAUGCCUGUGAUUCAAUUCCCUCUUAGAUCUGUUUCCUCUAUGAGUGUAUUUGAAUUCGUACUAAAGAUGAGGUUUAGAUGCAGGAAAACACAUUAACGUCCCAGUUCCCCUG
rnacentral:lncRNA from 7 species